UUGGAGGUGGGGUGGUCUCAGCCAAGGGCCAGAGAAGGGAGAGGAGCGAGGAUCUAGAGGGGAGAAAAGGAAGUCGGCUGGGAAAUGGUCUGGAAGAAACAGCGAAUCAGCUUGGAGUGGCCCCAGCACGGGGAGGAGGAAGAGCCUCCCCGGGCCGCCAGGGGUCGCUGCUGAGCCGCAGAUCUCCAGCCCACUCACCCCCUCCUCAAGCCAGGACUCAGAAUCUUACUGCCCAGUACCUCAGCCCAAGAUGGAAAUACUAAAGUCCAGAAAGAGCAACUUAAUUUUUCCCAGGGAUACACAGAAUCUGGGGGCAGACGACAGGAUAACAUCACUAUCUCUCAAAUCCCAGAUGUCCUGUGAGAUAGAAGCUCUGAUCUUCUGGAGACACAAAGGGUCCAAACCUGUGAUGCUUCUUCCUGAGAUGUCUCCACCACUGGCUCGAGUUUGGAUUCUAGGGGUUUUGAGAGGUCCCAAUCAAGCUUCUGGAAGACUGGUGUCAGGGGAGGGGGAGGAGCACAGAGUGCAUGCUGGCUCUGGAAUCCUCAGAAAGCAAUCCUGGAUUAGGGGAUUAGACACUCCCGCCCCAGGAGAAAAUCU